rnacentral:rRNA from 1 species
UAUCCUGUCUGAAUAUGGGGGGACCAUCCUCCAAGGCUAAAUACUCCUGACUGACCGAUAGUGAACCAGUACCGUGAGGGAAAGGCGAAAAGAACCCCGGCGAGGGGAGUGAAAAAGAACCUGAAACCGUGUACGUACAAGCAGUGGGAGCCCCACCACCAAAGCAUUUGCUGUACCGCGUUGACGGAGCGAAGCGACGUCAAACCGAUAAAACAGCAGUGUAAAGUGAGCCGCAGGGCGCUUUGCGCGACAGCGCAAAGGCAGGCGGUUUCGCGUAGCGAAAGCGAAUGCUUUGGGGUGGGGUGACUGCGUACCUUUUGUAUAAUGGGUCAGCGACUUAUAUUCUGUAGCAAGGUUAACCGAAUAGGGGAGCCGGAGGGAAACCGAGUCUUAAUUGGGCGUUAAGUUGCAGGGUAUAGACCCGAAACCCGGUGAUCUAGCCAUGGGCAGGUUGAAGGUUGGGUAACACUAACUGGAGGACCGAACCGACUAAUGUUGAAAAAUUAGCGGAUGACCUGUGGCUGGGGGUGAAAGGCCAAUCAAACCGGGAGAUAGCUGGUUCUCCCCGAAAGCUAUUUAGGUAGCGCCUCGUGAAUUCAUCUCCGGGGGUAGAGCACUGUUUCGGCUAGGGGGCCAUCCCGGCUUACCAACCCGAUGCAAACUGCGAAUACCGGAGAAUGUUAUCACGGGAGACACACGGCGGGUGCUAACGUCCGUCGUGAAGAGGGAAACAACCCAGACCGCCAGCUAAGGUCCCAAAGUCAUGGUUAAGUGGGAAACGAUGUGGGAAGGCCCAGACAGCCAGGAUGUUGGCUUAGAAGCAGCCAUCAUUUAAAGAAAGCGUAAUAGCUCACUGGUCGAGUCGGCCUGCGCGGAAGAUGUAACGGGGCUAAACCAUGCACCGAAGCUGCGGCAGCGACGCUUAUGCGUUGUUGGGUAGGGGAGCGUUCUGUAAGCCUGUGAAGGUGUGUCGUGAGGCAUGCUGGAGGUAUCAGAAGUGCGAAUGCUGACAUAAGUAACGAUAAAGCGGGUGAAAAGCCCGCUCGCCGGAAGACCAAGGGUUCCUGUCCAACGUUAAUCGGGGCAGGGUGAGUCGACCCCUAAGGCGAGGCCGAAAGGCGUAGUCGAUGGGAAACGGGUUAAUAUUCCCGUACUUGGUGUUACUGCGAAGGGGGGACGGAGAAGGCUAUGUUGGCCGGGCGACGGUU